rnacentral:rRNA from 1 species
AGAUAAGUAUAGAAUGGUUAGAUUUGGUUUUAGUCUACUGUCUUAGUUGCAGCGUCAUUGAAACACAUGGUACUUUAGGGGAUCUGGUGAGGUACUUUAAAUGGAAGGGUCAAGGUUAAAUACUUUGAGAUUUGGGUCUGUUUAAGUAAGCAUAAAUAUAAAGUUGUUACGCUAAAUUAUAUUCACUAGUAGUCACACCAGUGUUGGAGAUUGAACAAUGAAUUUUGAUUUGAUUCAGUGAUUGGCUGUAUCUAGAUCUGGCAAAGUUUGUGCCAGCCGCCGCGGUUAGACAAACGGGUCGAAUUAAGAUUUAGAUAGUAAAAAAGGAGGUUAAUAAGAUUUCAGUUAUGUAGAAGAUAACUAGGCUCUUAGUAGAGGUGGAAUUUGAGCUAAGUGAAGAUGUCUUUUGUUUCUUUGUUUUUGAGGCCUCGAAAUCUUAAUAUAAAACCGGGAUUAGAUACCCCGUUAUUUAAGAUGUAAAAUUUGAUUUUUUUAGAAAUUUACUGGAGUAUUACGAGAAAUAGUUGUAUUUGAAAUUUUAGCUAUUGAUAUCUUAAAACUCAAAAGACUUGGCGGUGCCUUAAGUCCUUCUAGGGGAACCUGUCCUGUAAUUGAUAGUCCACGAUUUACCUUACCAUUUUUUGAACGUUUUCAGCUUGUAUACCGUCGUCGCCAGAUGACCUUUAAGAGAGGAGUAGUUAUCAGGGUAGAGAAAGAGUGUUGGUGUAAGUCAUGUAAUGAUGUGAUCUUAAAUUAACUCAUAUCUCUCCACGUCAGAUCAAGGUGCAGCUUAUAGAAUGGGAGAGAUGGGUUACAAUAAUUAGUUAUUAUACAGAUUUCUUUCUGCAAAAUAUAGGAAGAUUGAAGGUGGACUUGGAAGUAAUAAAUGGAAUAGAGAGCUUGUAUGAAGAUGGCUCUAAGGCGUGCACACAUCGCCCGUCGCUCUCGUUGAAAAAUGAGAUAAGUCGUAACAUAGUGAGGGUACCGGAAGGUGCCCUUGGUGAAAGAAGAAAAAUUGGAGAUUUUUCGAUAUUGUAAGUUCUAUAUGAUAAAAGCAUGUUUAUUAA